rnacentral:rRNA from 1 species
GGAAUAUUGCACAAUGGGGGAAACCCUGAUGCAGCAACGCCGCGUGAAGGAUGAAGGUCUUCGGAUUGUAAACUUCUUUUCUGUGGGAAGAAGCUUCUCUUUAGGGAGGGGUUGACGGUACCAAAGGAAUAAGCCACGGCUAACUACGUGCCCGCAGCCGCGGUAAUACGUAGGUGUCAAGCGUUAUCCGGAAUUACUGGGCGUAAAGGGCACGCAGGCGGUCUAGGAAGUCCGACGUGAAAGCUUCCGGCUUAACUGGGAGAGGUCGUUGGAAACUUUUAGACUUGAGACGGUGAGAGGGGGGCGGAAUUCCCGGUGUAGUGGUGGAAUGCGUAGAUAUCGGGAAGAACACCAGUGGCGAAAGCGGCCUCCUGGCACUGUUCUGACGCUGAGGUGCGAAAGCGUGGGGAGCGAAC